GACGAACGCUGGCGGCAUGCCUAAUACAUGCAAGUCGAACGCUGAAGCACUCUGCUUGCAGAGUGCGGAUGAGUGGCGAACGGGUGAGUAACACGUGGGAAAUCUGCCUAGGAGUGGGGGAUAACAUUCGGAAACGGAUGCUAAUACCGCAUAUCUUUUUGAACCGCAUGGUUCUUAAACGAAAGACGGCUUCGGCUGUCGCUCUUAGAUGAUCCCGCGGCGUAUUAGUAGUUGGUGGGGUAAAAGGCCUACCAAGACCAUGAUACGUAGCCGACCUGAGAGGGUGAUCGGCCACACUGGGACUGAGACACGGCCCAGA
rnacentral:rRNA from 1 species